UCACCUGCUUCUCAUAAAAGCCAAAAAAGGGCAAUCAUCAGGUGCCUGGGCGGGAGCUAACCCCCACCUGGAGCCGCUGUACCCUCAAUCCCCACCUGGACCUAGUUUAUCUAGAGUCAAUAUAUUUACCCUGCCCGGGGAGGAAUCCUGCUCACUCCCAGCUCUGGGGCGUCACCCGCGAUCAGCAGCUACUCUUCAGCCUCCUGCCGUUCCCCAAGUACUGGGCAGGCGCCAGCCCCCCCUCCCCCGGGUCGAGGUCCCCCCGCCUCUCACUGGGAGCAGUACGAGGAGACCGGGGUUUCUUUCUCACUGGCCUCUGAAUCCUGAAAUGAAAGCUGCAGAGAACCCAAGAUACCAUUCACAGUUUUUGCAUAAGCUGAACCUACUCUAAAGCUCUCAAGCCCAAGUGGAUUUAUAUUGGCAGGAGCCUCUCCUUAAAUUGCCUUUAUGUAGGGCGAAUCUCAGUAGCCUGUGGUUGGCAGGGCAAGAUCCGGUUCCUUCUCAGCUGGCUCUGCCCCCAGGAUGUUACCUUGUCUUCUGCAGCAGCAGGGCCUUCAUCUGAGACACAAGGGGCAGACAGGAUGAAAGACUGCCUAGGAAAGGAGUCUUUUUCAUGGGGGUAUAAAAGCAAGAUGGAGACAAGGAGGCUUAUUGCUGUUUGAAAGAAAACCACUCACAUAACUAGAUGUGAAAAGUAAAA